rnacentral:rRNA from 1 species
UCCCNUNUAGGGCGGACCCCGAAAUUUGGGNUGGGGGAACNNAGNCGGGCNCUNNAAGGUAAAUGCCGGUNACCCCCCGGAGGAAGGUGGGGAUGACGUCAAAUCAUCAUGCCCCUUAUGACCUGGGCUACACACGUGCUACAAUGGAUGGUACAAAGGGCAGCGAAGCCGCGAGGUGAAGCCAAUCCCAUAAAACCAUUGCUACAGUUCGGAUUGCAGGCUGCAACUCGCCUGCAUGAAGCCGGAAUCGGGGAGUAUCGCGGAUACAGCAUGCCGUNGUGGNNGAGCGAANACC